CCUGAUGCAGCAACGCCGCGUGAGGGAUGACGGCCUUCGGGUUGUAAACCUCUUUUAGCAGGGAAGAAGCGAAAGUGACGGUACCUGCAGAAAAAGCGCCGGCUAACUACGUGCCAGCAGCCGCGGUAAUACGUAGGGCGCAAGCGUUAUCCGGAAUUAUUGGGCGUAAAGAGCUCGUAGGCGGUUUGUCGCGUCUGCUGUGAAAUCCCGAGGCUCAACCUCGGGCCUGCAGUGGGUACGGGCAGACUAGAGUGCGGUAGGGGAGAUUGGAAUUCCUGGUGUAGCGGUGGAAUGCGCAGAUAUCAGGAGGAACACCGAUGGCGAAGGCAGAUCUCUGGGCCGUAACUGACGCUGAGGAGCGAAAGGGUGGGGAGCAAACAGGCUUAGAUACCCUGGUAGUCCACCCCGUAAACGUUGGGAACUAGUUGUGGGGACCAUUCCACGGUUUCCGUGACGCAGCUAACGCAUUAAGUUCCCCGCCUGGGGAGUACGGCCGCAAGGCUAAAACUCAAAGGAAUUGACGGGGACCCGCACAAGCGGCGGAGCAUGCGGAUUAAUUCGAUGCAACGCGAAGAACCUUACCAAGGCUUGACAUAUACGAGAACGGGCCAGAAAUGGUCAACUCUUUGGACACU
rnacentral:rRNA from 2 species